rnacentral:rRNA from 1 species
UACGGGGGGGGCAAGCGUUGUUCGGAAUUAUUGGGCGUAAAGAGCGUGUAGGCGGCCAGGUAGGUCUGCUGUGAAAACUCGAGGCUCAACCUCGAGACGUCGGCGGAAACCAUCUGGCUAGAGUCCGGAAGAGGAGGGUGGAAUUCCUGGUGUAGCGGUGAAAUUCGUAGAUAUUCGCAAGAACACCAGUGGCGAAGGCGGCUCACUGGCCCGGUACUGACGCUGAGGUGCGAAAGCGUGGGGAGCAAACAGG